AAUAUACUCCCUCCGUCCCAUAUUAAGUGCCGAAAUAUUAUAUGUAUUUAGACAUAUUUUAGUAUAUAGAUACAUCCAUAUUUAUAUAAAUUUGAGUCACUUGAUAUGCGAUGGAGAGAGUAGAAA
rnacentral:pre_miRNA from 1 species